rnacentral:lncRNA from 8 species
AUGUAUUCAAGAGACCUGAAUAAACCCAGUGUCUGCACCCCUUUAUCAAUACACAUUACAACCAACUAUAUCACACUGUCAGCACCCCUUUAUCAAUACACAUUACAACCAACUAUAUCACACUGUCAGCAUCCCUUUAUCAAUACACAUUACAACCAACUAUAUCACACUGUCAGCACCCCUUUAUCCAUACACAUUACAACCAACUAUAUCACACUGUCAGCACCCCUUUAUCCAUACACAUUACAACCAACUAUAUCACACUGUCAGCACCCCUUUAUCCAUACACAUUACAACCAACUAUAUCACUGUCAGCACCCCUUUAUCAAUACACAUUACAACCAACUAUAUCACACUGUCAGCACCCCUUUAUCCAUACACAUUACAACCAACUAUAUCACUGUCAGCACCCCUUUAUCCAUAUACAUUACAACCAACUAUAUCACACUGUCAGCACCCCUUUAUCCAUACACAUUACAACCAACUAUAUCACACUGUCAGCACCCCUUUAUCGAUACACAUUACAACCAACUAUAUCACACUGUCAGCACCCCUUUAUCCAUACACAUUACAACCAACUAUAUCACACUGUCAGCACCCCUUUAUCCAUACACAUUACAACCAACUAUAUCACACUGUCAGCAUCCCUUUAUCAAUACACAUUACAACCAACUAUAUCACACUGUCAGCACCCCUUUAUCAAUACACAUUACAACCAACUAUAUCACACUGUCAGCACCCCUUUAUCCAUACACAUUACAACCAACUAUAUCACACUGUCAGCACCCCUUUAUCCAUACACAUUACAACCAACUAUAUCACACUGUCAGCACCCCUUUAUCCAUACACAUUACAACCAACUAUAUGACACUGUCAGCACCCCUUUAUCAUACACAUUACAACCAACUAUAUCACACUGUCAGCACCCCUUUAUCCAUACACAUUACAACCAACUAUAUCACACUGUCAGCACCCCUUUAUCCAUACACAUUACAACCAACUAUAUCACACUGUCAGCACCCCUUUAUCCAUACACAUUACAACCAACUAUAUCACACUGUCAGCACCCCUUUAUCCAUACACAUUACAACCAACUAUAUCACACUGUCAGCACCCCUUUAUCCAUACACAUUACAACCAACUAUAUCACUGUCAGCACCCCUUUAUCCAUAUACAUUACAACCAACUAUAUCACUGUCAGCACCCCUUUAUCCAUAUACAUUACAACCAACUAUAUCACACUGUCAGCACCCCUUUAUCCAUACACAUUUACAACCAACUAUAUCACACUGUCAGCACCCCUUUAUCCAUACACAUUUACAACCAACUAUAUCACACUGUCAGCACCCCUUUAUCCAUACACAUUACAACCAACUAUAUCACACUGUCAGCACCCCUUUAUCCAUACACAUUACAACCAACUAUAUCCAAAGGCAAAUGUGA